AUGACGAGCUCGACUACGGCAAGGAGGAGGAGGAGAAGCCGGCGCCUGUGCCAACGAGGAAAGGGAAAAAGAAGAAGCGAGGGGCCAGGACCGGUCGGCGACAGUCGGCGUACUCCACCCACCAGAUCCAUGCCGCCCCUGCCCAAAUCCUCUCCAUGUGCACCGCACCCAAUCCCUUCCUCGCUCGUCUCAUCCAUGGCCAGCUCCCCAUCCUCCUGCGGUUCCCCUCCCUUUCUUCCUUCUCCUCUCUCACGACACGCCGCCUGUCUCCAUCCCGCAUCCCCGCUGCCGCCACAGCCUCUCCAGGAGGCUGGCCCUCCGUGUUGCGAAGCAGCAGGCCAGGAUCUGGAGGAGGAAGAGGAGAUCUCGAGGUCUAGGAGGUGGCUCGGUCGAUGCGAGGUGAGUGGGAGGUGA
rnacentral:rRNA from 1 species